UGGGGAAUUUUGGACAAUGGGGGCAACCCUGAUCCAGCCAUGCCGCGUGAGUGAAGAAGGCCUUCGGGUUGUAAAGCUCUUUCGGCCGGAACGAAAUCGCAGCGUCGAAUAAACGUUGUGGAUGACGGUACCGGAAUAAGAAGCACCGGCUAACUACGUGCCAGCAGCCGCGGUAAUACGUAGGGUGCGAGCGUUAAUCGGAAUUACUGGGCGUAAAGCGUGCGCAGGCGGGUUUGUUAAGCCAGAUGUGAAAGCCCCGGGCUCAACCUGGGAACUGCGUUUGGGACUGGCAAGCUAGAGUACGGCAGAGGGGGGUGGAAUUCCACGUGUAGCAGUGAAAUGCGUAGAGAUGUGGAGGAACACCGAUGGCGAAGGCAGCCCCCUGGGCCGAUACUGACGCUCAGGCACGAAAGCGUGGGGAGCAAACAGGAUUAGAUACCCUGGUAGUCCACGCCCUAAACGAUGCGAACUAGUCGUUGGAGUAGCAAUACUUUAGUGACGCAGCUAACGCGUGAAGUUCGCCGCCC
rnacentral:rRNA from 1 species